rnacentral:tRNA from 1 species
GGCCCCUUCGUCUAGUGGCCCAGGACGCAUGGUUCUCAGCCAUGAAACAGGGGUUCGAUUCCCCUAGGGGCUACCA